AAUGGAAGAAGAGGAAGGUUGCCAGAAUUAUUCUUCAAGGAAUUGCGUUCAUUAUCUAAUUAAUAGCAUUCUAUUAUUGCUUCUAAUUAACAAGACGGUGGAAGCGUAGCAUAUGUGGGUUAGUCCAGUUGGCUAGGGUAGUGAGCUUGCAACCUUGUACCUAAGUUUGAAUUCCCCUUCCCAGUAGAUUAGAUUAAUUUUGCUUAGAUUAUCACUUGUGGAAAUAGCAUCACUUGUAGAUUAGAUUAGGGAGACUUUGGAAAAGCCCAAAGGAGAGAGAAAAUUUUGAAAAGAAGCAAAAAUGGACAAAAUUGCCCUUAUUUAUUUUUUGAUUUCCUAAGAAAUCCUUUACAUUUGCAUGUCUUUGGUUUGAAAGUUGAGAGCUUAUUCUGUCUUUUUUCAAAAAGCUUUGGCUUUUUCCAAAAGUGAAAGUUUUUUUAUGGGUAAAACCUAAAUUUACUAUUAGAUUAAUAAGAGCACUGCUAUUUCCACCCCUUGUCCUAUUUUUCCACCAACCUUAUCUUCAAAAUUUUAAAGACAAAUUUACCCCUUUGUAAAAUUUGCCUCAACUUAUUACAUAACCCACCUAUUCUACCAUUUGACAAAAAGAAAAAAAG
rnacentral:lncRNA from 1 species